rnacentral:rRNA from 1 species
AUGAACGCUGACAGAAUGCUUAACACCUGCAAGUCGAUGGGGAAGUGGUGCUUGCACCCUGGUAACCAUGGCGGACGGGUGAGUAACGCGUAAGGAACUUACCUGCGGGACCGGGAUAACAGCAGGAAACUGCUGACAAGACCGGAUAAGGUCAUUAAGCUGCAUAGCUUAGUGAUGAAAGGAGACGCCUGCGGAGAGCCUUGCGUCCUAUUAGCUAGUUGGAGGGGUAACGGCCCACCAAGGCGAAGAUAGGUAGCCGGCCUGAGAGGGUGGACGGCCACAAGGGGACUGAGAUACGGCCCUUACUCCUACGGGAGGCAGCAGUGGGGAAUAUUGGACAAUGGGGGCAACCCUGAUCCAGCAAUUCUGUGUGCACGAAGACGGUUUUCGGAUUGUAAAGUGCUUUCAGCAGGGAAGAAGGAAGUGACGGUACCUGCAGAAGAAGCGACGGCUAAAUACGUG